GUCACGCUCUGGUGAACUGCGCGAGGAUUUUGGCAGGGACGGAUUUCAGAUGUGCGAACUGCUGAUUUUCGACAAUGAAAUCAGUCGUGGGAAGAGGCUGAUAUAUUACUCUCUUUUUACUAUUUCCAAGGUGAUUCCAGUGUAUACCAAGGAUUGAAAGCAGCGUGCAGAGCUCUGGACUCUUCUCUCCCGACAUACUUAAGUAUGUAUUUAAGGCAGGAUGCCAGCUGUUUUUUCUGAGGUGUCAGAGCUUCCUCAGAGACUAGAGGUGAACGCAAAACUUUAAAAUGUAACCCCGACAUAAAGGAUGAACAAAUCGUACAUCUAUAUAGCUUGAUAAUUUAUGAAGUGGACGCACCUGCGCAACCACCAUCCGGAAGAUGUGGACCACCACAAGUA